rnacentral:rRNA from 1 species
CCUACGGGAGGCAGCAGUGAGGAAUAUUGGUCAAUGGGCUUACGCCUGAACCAGCCAAGUCGCGUGAGGGAAGACUGCCCUAUGGGUUGUAAACCUCUUUUGUCAGGGAGCAAUUGGCGCUACGUGUAGCGUUAUCGAGAGUACCUGCAGAAAAAGCAUCGGCUAACUCCGUGCCAGCAGCCGCGGUAAUACGGAGGAUGAGAGCGUUAUCCGGAUUUAUUGGGUUUAAAGGGUGCGUGGGCGGAAUGCAAAGUCAGAGGUAAAAUCGCGGGGCUCAACCUCGCUCCGCCUUUGAAACUGGCGUUCGUGAGUGUGCGAGAAGUAGGCGGAAUGCGUGGUGUAGCGGUGAAAUGCAUAGAGAUCACGCAGAA